UUUAAAAGGGUUAAUGCUGCCGAAGCCAGUCCCAGCUGACAUUAAAACCCCCUGAGUUUAAUGAUUUAGUAGAUUGGCACAAUUUCAAGAACACCCUGUUCUGUACCGUGCGAUUCUUCUGAUUUGCCUAAGCUACCACUCAGUAAGUUCAUUCACUCCCAUCAUUGGUUUAAUUCCUCUUUUGCUGUCACAGGUGAUGCUGUUCUUGCUCCCCAGCAAACACAUCUGUCUACAAAUGAACACAACUGGAGGGACAGCCAGCCAUAGCUCUAAGUGAGGUGGCUAAUGAGGGAUGGCGAGGGGAGCGGGGAGGUACGGACCCGGAGAUCCUCCUGUUGAUGUUGUACUGCUCACAGAUGUCCGAGGCCAGCACCGUGAGCUGGGGCCCGACAAUGCUGUCCAGUUUGCGGCAGAACUCCAGCGUGGGCGGGAUGGAAGCUAGGGAGCAGAGAAGGGGAGAGAGGUCAAGUUUUACACUGCGCCAACUACGGUGUGACCCUCCAGAAUGAAUCCUGGUUGGAAUAUGUCCUCAAAACACACGUUCUCCUCCCAAACAUUCUGCCCUUGAGGAAGGCAGCAGCAGAGGGAGACAGCAAAUAAGAUUUACCUUCCAUAGUGUUGCAGAUUCCCUGGCAUUUCAGCACGUAUUGGAGAAUCUCUUCCCGCUAGCUGAAGUGGA